rnacentral:tRNA from 1 species
UGGGGUAUAGCCAAGCGGUAAGGCACCGGAUUCUGAUUCCGGCAUACCCAGGUUCGAAUCCUGGUACCCCAGCCA